GCAUGCUCAUUAAUUAUGCAGACCUGUGUAAUUGAUGAUUACUUUUUCUGCUGCGAUUGACUUAUGCACCACUAUGUUACCUCCCCUUUUAACCUUAUCUUUCAAUUUCAAUUUUCAAAUUUCAUUGUUAUGUUAUUGUUCUACUUCUCCCCUGGAAACCCUCUUCCCAUUGUCGGUUGAAACUCUUUCCUCAAUCAGCUUCUUCUUAAUAAACGAAGCCUCUGUGUAAUGGAUCAGCGGAACAAGAUUUCCGAAUCUGAUGGGUUGUACCAUGGCCGGAGGUCUGAUGAUUUUAGUUUGGAUUCCUCUCUGCACUCUGGCGUUUGAUUUAGUUCUUUGUGUUGACGAUGAGGUGAAUUUGGAUUUAAAAACUCAAUAAAAUGCUGAGCAACUACUCCUCAAUGGAAGGUGUGUUGUACUGCAAGCCACACUUUGAGCAGCUGUACAAGGAAUCGGGAAACUUCAACAAGAACUUUCUGUCACGUAUAAUUUUGCUGCAGCUGCAAAGUCAGCUGAUCAGUUAACUCCAGUGCUGACAAAGUCACCUAGCAAAGCUACUGGCAUGUUUUCUGGCACACAAGAUAAAUGUGCUACUUGCGGUAAAACAGCUUAUCCACUAGAGAAGGUAUGUAACUUCUUCAAGAACAUAAGAUAUUAUUACACUUUGCUGAUUAAGUUAAAGUUACUUUUUCUACUUCUCAAAGACUGACUGAUAUCUGCAUCUUAGUAUGUAUAGUAUUUUGCAACGGGUGGUGCACAGAUUCUCAUAACCAUUUGUAUUUUUUUGGAGUUUCAUGACAAACAUCAGUCUAACUUUUACUAUAUACUACUAUUUGUUUGUGUGAAAUUUUGCAAUGUCCGACUCAAGUGUUCACUGACUUUUGUGUUGAAGGAGUGAUUUGUGAUUUACAAUGUGAUUACUAACCGGAAAGGGUUAGACUGGGGAAGAUGGAGGUAUUUUUGUCAGUUGUCGAACAACUUUUGGUUUAAAGCCAAUUCAAGAGUCCAAAGAGCAUAUUAUUUUUCACUGUGAGUUUGUGAUAUUCUUCUUAAAGCAGCAUCAUAUUCGGAGACAUCUCUUUUAAUAUUAUAUCACUCUGUCAUUUUGUUUAUGGAGGGGAUUUGGUUGUAUACCGACUCUUAUUAUGCUCAGUCUGAGUAUCUUAUGGUUAGAGUUCAUUCAAAUGCUACCUGGAUCUAACAAUCUAUGUUGGGAUAUAGGUUAUGUAUUCACAAUGCUAGAUGUGGCUUUCUUCCAUAGAAAUUAAAGUUCUAAAGCUUCCAUAGAUGUGGCCUUCUUCGCGAGUUCGUGACCUACCUCCAGAGCAGUUCUGUAGACAUAAUUUGUUUUAGGAAAAGCUUCUGAAGCAGGAUUCGCGAAUGAAAUGUACAAGAUCCUGACGGCUGCUGCACUCAGUAUAAUGUUGGACCGGUCACUGAUUAUUGGGAAACCAGGCAAUUGGUGCUCUCUCAAGCCUUUACAUAUGUUUAUCCAUUAAUUUCACUUGAAUGAUGAACAAAAGUAACCACUGAUCUUCCAAUUUAAUUCUGUAAGGCAGUUGAUAUUGCUGCAUGCUUCUCUGGUUCAUAGUGUUCCUCAAUUUAAUUCUUGGUUGAUAAACAAGACUGUGCAUGCAUUUGUGAUCAUAAUAUAAAAUUCACUAUGAGAAACAUUUGAUCCAAUAUAUAAGUCUAUUCCACCUUUAGUGAGUUAAAUACCAAAGAUGAAUUUAUUAUAACUUUGUGACAGCUACAUAAACUAUUCAAACAUAUCGUUUACCUUGAACGAAGUUAAGCAUCUUUGGAGACAAAAUGGUUGUGCUACUAAAUAUCAAAGACAUUUGUUAAUGAGGAUUGAUGAUUUUCAGAAGCCAGCACUAACAAGUGUUCUUUGUAGCAACUGGAAGGAGUGGGAGGAACCAAUAAUAUGAUACUAUACCAGGCUCCAAAAUACCACAGAUUCUGUAGCAGCUCAAUUUUUUAAAAAAAAUAUCAACAUCAAGAUGAGGGAAGUUGCAAUGAAUCUAUUUGGAAAGCCGGAUGAUUUUCAUGAUAGGCCCAACGUGUUUGGAGAACUCAUGAGAGUCCUCAUAAGGAUCC